UCUGCUCUCCCGCUCAGCUCAGCUCGGGCCCCUGCUCUCCCCUGAGCUCGGCCCCACUCGGUCUGACCCAGGCCAUUCCAGCUCCCAUGGACGAGGGGAC